ensembl:misc_RNA Metazoa_SRP Metazoan signal recognition particle RNA
GCUGGGUGUGGUGGGCAUGCCUGUAGUCCCAGCUACUUGGGAGGCUGAGGCUGGAGGAUUGCUUGAGUCCAGAAGUUCUGGGCUGUAGUGCACUAUGCCAAUUGGGUGUCCGCACUAAGUUCGGUGUAAGUAUGGUGACCUCCUGCGAGUAGGGGACCGCCAGGUUGCUUAAGGAGGAGUGAACCGGCUCAGGUAGGAAACGGAGCCAGUCAAAACUCCCAUGCUGAUCAGUAGUGGGAUCGUGCCUGUGAAUAGCCACUGCGUGCCAGCCUGGGCAACAUAGCAAGACCUUGUCUCUA